AUUGAACGCUAGCGGGAUGCCUUACACAUGCAAGUCGAACGGAGUGGCGAACGGGUGAGUAAUGUCUCGGAACGUGCCCAGUAGCGGGGGAUAACUACGCGAAAGCGUAGCUAAUACCGCAUACUAUCGGAGCGGCCUAUAUCGGAUUAGCUAGUUGGUGGGGUAACGGCUCACCAAGGCGACGAUCCGUAGCUGGUCGGAGAGGACGACCAGCCACACUGGGACUGAGACACGGCCCAGACGCCUACGGGAGGCAGCAGUGGGGAAUUUUGGGCAAUGGGGGAAAGCCUGAUCCAGCAAUCCCGCGUGUGGGAUGAAGGCCUUCGGGUUGUAAAGCACUGUUGGCAGGGAAGCGGUACCUGCAGAAUAAGCACCGGCUAACUACGUGCCAGCAGCCGCGGUAAUUC
rnacentral:rRNA from 1 species